UUUUAUAAACUUUUUGGCAAAAAAAAUCAACAAAGCAUUCAUCCGGCAAUGGAACAAACCACACUCAUAAAAGCAUGCAAUCAACCAACAUCUCUUCCAAAGCAGCCAAGAAAGUGUCAUAAAACAUUAGUUUACCCUCAAAGUGUAAACAAUAGUUUAUCUUAUGAUAAAAAAACAAAAUCGGUUUCGCCAAACAUUGCUCCUCUAGAGUCAGAUACAGCAAUGGCUACAGAAAAUGCCCUCACGCAAAGCCUUCUUCCGUGGACUUGUACAAGUUUUUUUUUUUUACACAGAACACAAGUUGAGAACAAAGGGGUCAACAAUGUAUGGUUACUGUGUCUUUUUCUUGUACGGUAA